UACGUAGGGUGCAAGCGUUAAUCGGAAUUACUGGGCGUAAAGCGUGCGCAGGCGGUGAUGUAAGACAGGUGUGAAAUCCCCGGGCUAACCUGGGAACUGCAUUUGUGACUGCAUCGCUGGAGUGCGGCAGAGGGGGAUGGAAUUCCGCGUGUAGCAGUGAAAUGCGUAGAUAUGCGGAGGAACACCGAUGGCGAAGGCAAUCCCCUGGGCCUGCACUGACGCUCAUGCACGAAAGCGUGGGGAGCAAACAGGAUUGAGAUA
rnacentral:rRNA from 1 species